AAUUCUUUUUUAACGUCUAUCUUUUUAUUGUCAGGGGCGGUGUGCCACAGUCCAUGCAUGGAGGAGAAAAGGCAGCAAGAAGAAAACACAGCCUACCUGGCACCACAAGGUGCUAUUAUGGUGACAUCUGCUGAGCACAAUGAAACCCAGGCCAUUGAGUGUUCUCCUUCUGGCAGUCCCACGUCCCAGCUUCCCGGCUUAACAAACGACCCAACGCAGAGGAACUUGAAGCAAUGCCAUAACUUAUUUUGCUCAAGGGAAAUAUUUAUUAUUAUCAUUAUCAAAUAAAAUAUCAUUUACUUGAGCCAGAACUGGGCAGGAGUAGCUCAUGUCUGCCUCACUGAGUAUCAUCUGGGGGUGCAUCAAAGGUGGGUUCGGGGUUCUGCCCAGCUCACUACUGUUGCUGUGGAGAGCAGCCCUUACACAGGGUCACUCCAGAGUCUGGGCUUGCUUAGCACACAAUACCCGCACUCCUGGAGCAGCUGGGAAAGAGGAAAGCAGGCAGAAGCUGUGCCAUCUUUCCCAACACAGCCAAGGAGUCACACGUCUUUGUCUCCUGCGGGCUGUGGCAGUUUCUUUGCCUUUGCUAGUCUUCCAGCACCCAGGCAUGUACUUUAUUUUUAUAACAAAGCUUUAUUGAGAUACCGCAAAUGUGCCUCCUUGAAUGUGUGAUUAAAUGUUGUUAAUAUGUUCAAACUGUUAGGCAAUGUUUUCACAAUCCAUUUUAAGAAAUUUUCAU